GGCCACUUCCGGUGCGCCCCAGGGCAUCAUGGGAGGAGUCGGUGGAGGGAAGAAAAGGCCGGAAGUGGCCCGCCGCCAUUGUUCGGACCGAGCUGAGGCGAGGGCGCGGCGUUGCCGAAGACCCAGAAGGCCAGCUUUGAAGAACACCUGGAGGAAAAGUGAAUCCCAUGUCAUCCCCAUAGUACAGAAGAUGCAGAAAUGGUGAAGGGAAUGGGUCAGGCCAUUUUGGAUUAACAGCACACUACCACAUAGAGAUUACUGUAAUGCAGUGUAUUCACCGAACACAGAAAGGAAGUCACCCUUGCCAUCUCAUGUCUGAGAUCAGUGGUUUCCCGACCUGUGGGGUCACAAGCCCCCAAGGAUCCUCAGGGUUGUUGCAAGGGACUCUUGAAUCCAUCUGCACAGCGAUAAUUGCCUCAAGUUUGAGCAAGCAACAUCAUCAAACAAACAGUGUUUUCUGUUAGAAAGUCUAAGUGACUAUAGCUUCCCAUUAAAUAUAAACUAAUUAAAAAUGUAUUAAAUGUGUAGCUGUUUUUCAUCAUUAUGUAUCUUUCUAACGUAAUACUAAAAGUACAGGUCCCAACAUGUGGAGCUGGUCGGAGGGAGGUCCAUUGAAUGUUUUGAUUCUGUGGAGGAGAACUUGGAAAUGACUGGUUUAGGUUAUAGAUGGCAAGAGCUGGGAAGUACCUCAGCAGUCACCUAGAAUGUGGCGUCCUCAUUUUACUGAUAAGGAAAGGAAGACCCAGAAAGGUGAAGGGGUCAUGCAGCACCACAGAGGUGUGACGGCGGGGCUGGGGCACGAGCCCUGUUCCCCUACAUCCAGGGCCAGUGCUAAUUCCACCGCGGUACACUGUAUUUAAAGACACGUAAAACCAACUGGCUUCCCUCGGGCAGCCAGAGCCCGUGAAAAGCCUGGAUUGGCACCUGGAAAUUUUGCCUCCGCGACCAAGGCAUUGUUGAUUUUACCAAAUGGUCUCUAUAAUACAGCUUUCCUGGUUAAGUUGGACGAGCAGUCCACAUUAGAAUAUUACACGUGAUUGUUGGCAUUCUUUCUGAAGUGCUAACAGCACAUGAAGGAGACUAGUCAUUAAAUUUCGUGUGGGUAAGUGGUCUGAAAAGUCAAUAUUUUACGCGAAGCCAUUUUUAAAGAACAGCUGCUCCUUGUAUUACCUUAUUCCCAUCACUAAACCAGGAAAUACAAUGGUAGCUCUUUAGGACUUAGCAGUAGAGAUCCCUUUGUUGUUUAGAGUGCAGUAAUAAAUCACUCUUACCUCGUGUGUUACCGGAUGAAGACGGUGGCAGGCUCAAAGCAGACAACUACUGUUGAAAGAAAAAAAAACUAAGAGAAUGUAGAUUCUUCUUUUUUCCACUUAAUCACAAAAUACAAGUAACUAUAUUGUGUACCGUGUCAUUCUUAGGAAUGGUGGAAAGAAAAAUUAAAAUUUGGAAAGAGUAGCCAUCUCCCUUAAGUGAAUGGUCCUCACCACCAGGACUGUAGAACCAGCCAGAUGCCCUCCACGUAUACAUACCUUGAGGAAUUUUGAAGAAGGACGGGGCCAAGGCAUGUGGGCUCCACUUUUAUAGAGACUGUUCUGCAAGCACAAGCUGCCACCUCAGCUGUCCGAACUGGAACCUACUUGGCAAAACCGUUUUUGGCAAAUCUCUUUGCACAAUAUUCACUGACUGUGGCUGUGAAUGGAUAUAAUUAGAAAUAUUUCUUGUCACCUAUAAAUAAUUUGACAGAGGAUAACCUAGAGUUCUUUAUAGGCAUUUGAUAGGGGACAGGGAUUCAGGGCUUCUAAGGCUGUUUCUCCAGCUUUGCUGUUACAUCAUUCACCAUGGAGUUCAAAGCCAGGCCCCCACUUACUCUCCUGCCUCUAAAGUUGGUCCGACAGAACGAGCUGGACGUGAGGAACUUAGGACUAAUUGGUUUUUAGCGCUUAAAGCCAUUAAGGAGCUGGGAUGAAUUUUAGAUCUGACACUGUCUUUGGAAGCAGUGAGUGAUGGAUAUUAAGGCAGAAAAUUCCUAGCCUGGGUCCCGAUUUUAGAAACACUGGCGAUAGAUGCUUUUAAAGUCUGAAAAGCUAAACGUGAUGGAGAAAACGAAUUGUCAGGUUAGGCAGUGGCGGUAGACCAGUGCAGGCAUCGUAAGGGAUUUAGAACAGAUAUAAACACUUCUGUUCCUUUUCUGAAGAACUUGCCAUGGCUACGUCCAGCUCAUUUGUUUUCACUGAGGGGACACCAGGAUGCCGUGUGAUGUUCACGCGUGUUUCCCCUGCAUAAUGGAAGGAGACACAGACAUGCGUCCCUAGUUCACGGGCAAAUCCUCAUGACUAGCUGUAGCCCUAAUGAGGUGGGUACUACAUACUUUGAUUUAAGGUGGGAGGAAAGACGUGGUAUCCACAAAACUCUUGUGGAUUGAGAAGAUGAGUGGGAGUAUGCCAUAUGCCCAUGAUACUUGCAAAUUGGGUUUUGGUGGUUUUGCCACAUACACAGCUGUUGCCGAAUAUGACGGGAAAUCUAUCUACUCUAAGUGUGUCCCUGAGAUCCGAUGUGAUAUUUUUUACUAUCAUCUGCUAGCUUAAAUUACUGAUUAAUGUGAUCACUAUUUUUAUGCAUCCUAUUGAGCUAGAAUUUUCUCUUUAACACAUUAACAGACUGAAUCUUUUAUACUUUUUUUUAUUUCUUUUGAUACAGUCCUGUGGAAGGCAGACAUUUUUAUUUUCUAAAAAAUCUCUGUGGAAAUGACUCUCAGAAGUUCAGCAAUGUACACAAAAUGUUGGGGGUCUAAGAAAGAGGAAAUGUCUUCUGAUUUUUUUCUAUGUUAAGAUUUUCACAACUCAUUUAUUUUUACUUCUUUUGGAACUUGGUACCUAAAUUCUAGACAUAAUAACUAUAUUAUCAAGCACACCCACCACUUUUAGAACUAAAAGAUAGGAGAAGACACUGUGGAUUGGGACCAAGACACAGGCUGAGUUAUGCAACUAUAGCUAGUGAGGACUGUACCUAAAACACAGAGCUUUGACAAACUGCAGAGACCGACUGAUCAUCCAGAUCUUGAAAGCUCUGAAACGGGGCAGGGGUCUUGUGGAGACUGGCAUAGACCACCAGGAAUGGGUCAGAGAAACUUGCAGAGCUUGGACAAGGACAGAAGAGUAGCAGCGCUGAAUGAGGGAGAGGCCUUUCCCUUAUACCUGCGUCUCUAAGGACUGUGUGAACAGGAAAUACAGGAAAACAGUGCUAAGCCUUCUUGUAUCUGUGAGGUUCUUUGUGAUUUGGAUGCUGUGUUUAAGCAGUUUGGAUAAGAGCUUUUCCCUUGCGUGUCCCCCCAUUAUCCGUGCAGAUUUGGAAAUGUUAUAGGAUUCUGUGAUCUUGGACUCCUUCAUCUACUAAAAGCAUAAAUUUAGUGAAAACCUGAGAUUCCCUUUAUUUUAUAGAGUUGUAUGAAUUAAAUUAGGCUAUGUAAAUAAUCUAUAGUAUAAACUGCCUUUAUGAGUAAUAAAGGCAUUACAGAUGAUUAUUAUUGGAGGUUAUAUAUAAUCACUUAAUUCUUAAAUAUACACACCCACAGACAUACACCCACACACACAUACCUACACAUAUGUAAGAUGCUUAGAACAGUGUCACCAGGGGCUGCUGAAGCAGACAUUUUGUAAUUCCAAGUAAAGGUCACAAUGACAUGCUGACACUCCUGAAUGUACCCAGGGAGUCCAGAUGGUAGUAAAGGACCGCAGAGAGGUGGUGGCUAGGAAAUGUCAGCGAACAAGGUUAUUAUUGUUGUUUUAUGGUUUUAUUAGAUGAAUUUUGUCCAAAAAUUAUAGUUGGCACCCAGUCCUAGCUUCUGUGGUAUCCGGCAUAGCAACACAGCCUCAACGAAACCCCUUGAGAUUUGGCAAGUCACAUUUGUUGUUUGUCUUUUUAAAAAUUCGUCUGGGACUCCCAAUGGGUCAUCACUGUUGAAGAGAAGUUGCAUAUUCAUUUUAAGUCGGUUGUUUAUAGCACUGUGCAGAAUUCUCAUUCCAGGGUGUGGGUAGAGUCAUUCACUCGCUUUUCUACUCUACACAUACUUACUAAAUGUCCACUAUGUACUAAUAAAUUACCCAAACUGGCCAAGCUCAUGCUUCAGUCAAUGGGGGUGGACAUACACAGACAAAGAAGUCAGUAUGUAGUACGCCAGACGAUACUACAUGCUAAAAGGGACAAUGAAACCGAGUAAGGGGGAAGGGAGAACUGUACCAAGGUGGGUGAUCUUGGAAGGCUUUUCAUGGAAGGUGACAGACAUUUGAAUAGAAGCUUGAGGGAAGUUAAGAAACAAGCAAUGUGGGUAUGUAGAAGAAGAAUAUUUCAGACAGAGGGAACAGAAAAUGUAAAGGUCCUGAGGCUGGAGUACCCUAAAGUGUUGAAGGAUCAGUGAAGAAGCCUGAAACGGAAGCACACUGUCAGGGGACAAGGGGGUAGCGUGGCGGCAGACGGAGUGGGAAGGGUCAGUUAACGUAGGAGCUUGUGAGACCAUGUCAGGACUUGGUUUUUAAUCUGAAUGAGAUGGAGAGCCAGAGGAGAAGUUUAGGAAGGGGGGCUGAAGAUUUAAAAGAACCUCUGGUGCCUGUGUUGAAUGUAGAUUGCAGGGCAGCAAGGGGAGGCCAAGGAGAGGCAGCAGGCUACUCACUGCCACAGUGUAGAUGGAUCAUAAUGGUGGCUUGGGCCGUGUUCCUGUUAGUGUGGCUGACUUACCAUACUGCCCCAGAUGAUGGCCUAAAACAAACAUUUUAUCAUGCCUAUGGAUUUUGAGGGUCAGGAAUUUAGAAUCUGGAAGGGACACAGCAGCCUUUGUUUUAUAGUACCUGUGUUCUCUGAGAACAAAACCUGGGGGUGAUUCAACAGCUAGGGGCAAGUAUCAUGUCCCAUAACAAAAGCCAGAGAACAAAAGGAUUGUUGAGAAGGGUAGCUAAUAAAUACAGUGAUGCCUGGGGGCAGACAUGGGGUCCAGGGAAAGUUUGUUAAAAAAGGGGAGAGACUAAGCAUAUUUGUGCUGAUGAGGAGGAUUCUGUAGAGUUAAGACAAACUGAUGACACAGGAGAAGAGGGAAUUAUUGUGAGCGGCAAGGCCAGGGAGACUGGAGUCCAGAGGCUCUGAUGGGAACAUGGACAAGGGUUAGGGUUAGGAAAGAAGACAGAGAGUGAGAGCGAGAUGCAGGUUAGCUGAUAGAUUUGAUGGUGGGAAGAUGAGGGGGUUCCUAUUUGCUUGCUUCUGUUUCCUCAGUGAAGUAUGAGGCAAGGUCACUGGCUGAGAGUGAGGGCAGUUGAAGGAGAUGUAGUGGGUAUACAGAGAGAAGGUGUGACGUGUUCUCUUUGAAGAGGGAGAGGCUCACCCAGGAGUACUGAGUUAUAAUCUUGUAGUUAAAGUGAGACCAGGUUAGCGGAUCUGUUUUUCUCCAGCAAGUUCAGAUGCUCGGAUGUAGCCAUAGAGAAUCUGGGUUUAACCAAGGUGAGACUUUGUCAGGCAAGUGAAAUCUAGAGAGAAGGCCAAUGGAGUUAAGAAUCUUUUCAAGUGAGUUAUUAUAAUGUUGGGCCAUGAAAUUUAAGCCUGGUUAAAGAAGGAGGUGAAAGAACAUAUCAGAACAAUGAAAAAGUGGUAGGGGUCAAUGGAGAUGAUGGGAUAUCUGGAGUAGGUGAGCUGGAAGAAGAGGCGGUGUUAGAGAUUGAAUGGAAUGAAUCCCGCUUGGUGGUGAUGUGUGAUUAUUUCAUAUGUGGUCAGAUUUGAUUUGCUAAUACUUUGUUGGGGAAUUUUGCAUCGAUGUUCAUAAGAGACACUGAACUAGUUUUUCUUUCUUAUAAUAUCUUUAUCUGGUUUUGAUAGUAAGGUCAUUCUGGCCCCAUAGAAUGAGGUAGAAAAUGCUCCCUCUGCUUUUUUCUUGAAGACAUUGUGGAGAAUUGAUACUAUUUUUCCUUAAAUCUUAGGUAGAAUUCACCAGUGAAAUUAUCUGAACCUGGUGAUUUCUGUUUUAGAAGCUUAUUAAUUAUUAAUUCAAUUUCCUUAAUAGAUGUGCAUCUAUUCAGAUUAUUUAUUUCUCCUUGUAUGCUUUGGUAAUUUGUGCAGAGACUGAAUGGGAUGCUUGAGGUUGAGAUUUUUGUGAAUGUACAGAUCUUGAUCAUGACAAGGGCCGUGAUGACUAUAUACUCACCUACCUCAAACUAUUCCCCAGAGCUAAUUUUCUACACAUGCAAAUACAUAGUGUAUUAUAUGCAAAUAUAUCA